UGGGGAAUAUUGGACAAUGGGCGAAAGCCUGAUCCAGCCAUGCCGCGUGUGUGAAGAAGGUCUUCGGAUUGUAAAGCACUUUAAGUUGGGAGGAAGGGCAGUAAGCGAAUACCUUGCUGUUUUGACGUUACCGACAGAAUAAGCACCGGCUAACUCUGUGCCAGCAGCCGCGGUAAUACAGAGGGUGCAAGCGUUAAUCGGAAUUACUGGGCGUAAAGCGCGCGUAGGUGGUUCGUUAAGUUGAAUGUGAAAGCCCCGGGCUCAACCUGGGAACGGCAUCCAAAGCUGGCGAGCUAGAGUAGGGCAGAGGGUGGUGGAAUUUCCUGUGUAGCGGUGAAAUGCGUAGAUAUAGGAAGGAACACCAGUGGCGAAGGCGACCACCUGGGCUCAUACUGACAAUGAGGUGCGACAGCGUGGGGAGCAAACAGG
rnacentral:rRNA from 1 species